CGGGCGGGGCGGGGUGGGCCCGCGGGCCGGGCUGGGCUGGGCCGGCUCCCUGGUGUGACCCACCCGACCCCCGUUUCCCUCUCCGUCCGCCGGACGGCGCACCCCGGGGCGCUCGUCCCGCUGGAGGCUGCGUCCUCGCGCGGCGGGGUCUCGGGCCGGGAGGGGCGGGAAGCGGCUGCUGUGCAGGAAUUCCGCCGCUUCCACGCGCCCCCCGCCGCCCGCUGCCGGCUGGCGUCGCCGGCUCUUCGCGGCCGCCGAGAGAUGGUGAUCGUGAUAGCGAGACUCAGCCGCGUUACCUGUCUUAUAUUUUCAACUUUUUGUACUGGAAACUUUGGAACACACGCUGAAGGAAGGAAGAGACUGAUUUAAUGGACUCCGUGUACCCAUCACCAGCUGGGAGGCCCCCACCCCUCCCGUGCCUUCUGUGACCCUAGAAUGACAUUCCCAGCCUCCGCGCUCCACGAGGCUGACCUGUCCCUCCCAGCUGGGACCCAGGAGGGUGAGGCAGGCCCAGAAGCAGUUCGGGGGGUAGCAAGACGAACAUGUUUCCUCAAGAGAGAGAGAAGGAACGGGGCAAGAUGUUAACCAUUGACGGCUGGCCGUCGUCAGGGUCGGCAAGCUUUUUCUGCAAAGGGCCAAAUAGUCAAUAUUUUGGGCUUUGCCAGCCAGGAACCCUGUGACAACUACUUGACUCUGCCAUUGCAGAGGGAGAGCAGCCCAGACAGCGCGCCAGCCCACGUGCAGGCUUCCCCAGGGGACACCGCCGUUUGAAUGUCACGUCAUUUUCAUGUGUUAUGAAACAUCAUUCUUUCAAUUUUUUCCAACCACGUAAAACUGUAAAAGCCAUUCUCAGUUCCUGAGUGAUGAGAACCAGGCUGCGGGCUGGAGCUGCUGACCCCUGGCUCACAGCUGUUUGUUGCACUUUUCUUGCAACAAUUCUGUCAGUUUGAAAAUACUCAAAACAGGAAGUUGGGAAAACAAAUAAAGAAAAAAAAAAAAGGAAACAGAAGUUGUCCUACUUAUCAUGGGCGGAUCUUGAACUUGACUGCAAAUUGAUUCAGUUCCCAUGGUUCUCCGUGCUGCUUUCUUGAUCAAUAACAGAGCUGAGACAUGAGGCUCAAAGCCAUGAAAGUGUGCGACAUUUGGGAAAGAUUUCUAGAAAUGGUUGCGAAGAUUAGCUUUAAAGGAGGAAGCCCUGAGAUGUUUAGAAACUAUGAUUUCAGAAGAAAAUCUCUCCAGAUCUCUGGACUUUGGAUUGCUCAAGUAGUGGAUCUGGAGCUGACCCCUAGUCCACACUCUGCUGGACCGCCCGCAGUGACGCCUCUCCCCCACCGCCCUGCCCCGGCCACGUCCAUAUUUGUUCCUUUCUCUGCGUGUGUCCCGGUGUUUGUGGUUCCAAGGCUGCACUUCCUUGUCACGUUUGCAGGCACUGUUGUGCCCAGUUCCCAUCACAGGUGUCCCCGUGAAGCUCUGACCAAGCCAAAGGGGAAAACAAGAGUAACGAAGAGAAACUGUCCUUUGGAAAGUGCUUCGGAGGGGUGAAACACGCACUGCAUCUAGAAACCGCCUUCCGAGCGGUUUAGACGCACCUCGUUUCUCGGCCGGGGUAAAGCCGAGAGGCCUCUGCCACGCAGGUGUGACGAAGCUCCCUCUGCUCAUUCAUCUGGUCAACAAACAGUUGUUGGACACACUUUGCGCCACUUUGCUCAGGGCGGGCAGUAGCUGCAGAGGUGAACGAGGCGCUGUUUGUGCCUUUGGGGGGCCUCACUGCUGAGCAGGGGGCAGACCCGUAAACAUGUAUUUACCCAUGAGGAUGGAGAACCGCCCCUGCAGAGCAGAGGGCAGAGGUCCUCUCGGGUGAGAGCCUUCUCCGUCAGAUAAACACCUUUUGGAGCACCAUUUGGGCCUUAGAAAGUCAGCCGUUGGGGUCUGGCUGGCAAAGAACUCUUCACCUGCCUUAUUUAGGGCAAGAACAGGAAUUUUAGGGGCAAGGAACAAGCAAGCUAGAGAGAGGAACAGGUCAGCGCGUGGUGUGGGAGAGGGCCAGGGAAGCUGUCUGCUGGGGAGCGGGGCUGGGCUGGCGGGAAAAGGCUUUGGAGGCCAGGGGUGGGUGACAGUCCAUUCUGAAUUCCUUGUUGAGCUGCCCGAGGUGCCCCACAUUUUUGGCUAUUACCCCUCAAAACUUCGUGAAAUCCACAGCCUUGAUGAUGGGCACGUGGACUGCGACAUCCACCCUCCGUGGCGGGCAGCCUGGCGACAUCAUCCACGUCGAAGAAUGCACAGACCUUCCGUCCAGCUAGGCCACCUCUAGAAGUUUACUCUUAGACUAUUGUAUUUUGCAAAAGGAUAUAUGCUCACGUUUAUUCACUGCAGCUUUGCUUACAGUAGGGAAAGAGUGGGGACAACUCCCAUGUCCGCCGACAGGGGCUGCAUAAAUAAAUUGUGGCCCAUCCAUACGACGGACUGGAUUCCCGCAGUUAAAGGGAAGAUGUGGAAGAAUUCCCAAAAUGUAGUGAGUGAAAAAAGUAAGGUGCAAAAGCGAGUAAGUGUGACUUCCUGUGUGAGUGUGUGUGAGAUAUCUUGCUGGCAGAAUCCACAAGAAAUUGGUCACAGGGGUUGCCUCUGGAAGGGAAAAUGGGUGGCUUGGACCCAGGGUAGGGAGACCCACAUUUUAUCCCCUUGUAGCGUUCGUGCUCUUCUAGUUCCCUCCCACACUGGGGAGGAUGGACCUGUGUAACCAGUAGGAUGUUGUGGAACGAUGGGGUGCGACUUCCAGGCUGGGUCAUAGGAGGGUUUGUGGCUUCUGCCUUGCUCUCUUGGAUCACUGACUCUGGAGGAUGUGGAUUAGGAAGGCCAAGCAGCCCUGUGCAGGAGCCUGUGCUGAGAAACUGAGGCCUCCUUCAAUAGCCAGCACCAGCUUGCCAGCCUCUGAGGGAGCCAUCCUGGAGGAAGGUCGUCCAGCUGCAGAGAAGCCCUGAGGUGACAGCUGCAGCCUCCUGCGAGACCUUGAGGCCGAGCGUCCAGCAAAGCCGCUGAGUUCCUGACCCACAGAAACCCCGUGAUAUAAUAAACGUUGAUUGUUUCAGGCGGCUAAA